rnacentral:rRNA from 1 species
ACACGGGGGGCGCAAGCGUUAUUCGGAAUUAUUGGGCGUAAAGGGCGCGUAGGCGGUCUUGUCGGUCAGAUGUGAAAGCCCAGGGCUCAACCCUGGACGUGCAUUUGAAACAGCAAGACUUGAGUACGGGAGAGGAAAGCGGAAUUCCUGGUGUAGAGGUGAAAUUCGUAGAUAUCAGGAGGAACACCGAUGGCGAAGGCAGCUUUCUGGACCGAUACUGACGCUGAGGCGCGAAGGCGUGGGUAGCGAACAGGAUUAGAUACCCUAGUAGUCC